rnacentral:rRNA from 1 species
AUUGAACGCUGGCGGCAGGCUUAACACAUGCAAGUCGAACGGUAGCAGGAGAAAGCUUGCUUUCUUGCUGACGAGUGGCGGACGGGUGAGUAAUGCUUGGGAAUCUAGCUUAUGGAGGGGGAUAACGACGGGAAACUGUCGCUAAUACCGCGUAUUAUCGGAAGAUGAAAGUGCGGGACUGAGAGGCCGCAUGCCAUAGGAUGAGCCCAAGUGGGAUUAGGUAGUUGGUGGGGUAAAUGCCUACCAAGCCUGCGAUCUCUAGCUGGUCUGAGAGGAUGACCAGCCGCACUGGAACUGAGACACGGUCCAGACUCCUACGGGAGGCAGCAGUGGGGAAUAUUGCGCAAUGGGGGGAACCCUGACGCAGCCAUGCCGCGUGAAUGAAGAAGGCCUUCGGGUUGUAAAGUUCUUUCGGUAUUGAGGAAGGUUGAUGUGUUAAUAGCACAUCAAAUUGACGUUAAAUACAGAAGAAGCACCGGCUAACUCCGUGCCAGCAGCCGCGGUAAUACGGAGGGUGCGAGCGUUAAUCGGAAUAACUGGGCGUAAAGGGCACGCAGGCGGUUAUUUAAGUGAGGUGUGAAAGCCCUGGGCUUAACCUAGGAAUUGCAUUUCAGACUGGGUAACUAGAGUACUUUAGGGAGGGGUAGAAUUCCACGUGUAGCGGUGAAAUGCGUAGAGAUGUGGAGGAAUACCGAAGGCGAAGGCAGCCCCUUGGGGAUGUACUGACGCUCAUGUGCGAAAGCGUGGGGAGCAAACAGG